AAUGGGCAUGUGAUGAAUCUCUUAACAAAUGGGUAAUUUGCAUCUGAAUAUUUCAGUGAUGCUUAAUCACCUUGGAGAACUGAUGCCUCUU